rnacentral:rRNA from 1 species
CCUACGGGGGGCUGCAGUCGAGAAUCUUCCGCAAUGGACGAAAGUCUGACGGAGCGACGCCGCGUGGAGGAUGAAGUGCUUCGGUAUGUAAACUCCUUUUGCCAGGGAAAAAGUUAUUGAUUGUACCUGGAGAAUAAGAGGUUGCUAAACUCGUGCCAGCAGCAGCGGUAAUACGAGUGCCUCGAGCGUUAUCCGGAAUCAUUGGGCGUAAAGGGUGUGUAGGCGGCUUCGUUAGUCUCGCGUAAAAUCUACCGGCUCAACCGGGAGUCCGCGCGGGAAACGGCGAGGCUGGAGGACGGUAGGGGUCACUGGAACUCUAGGUGUAGCGGUGAAAUGCGUUGAUAUCUAGGGGAACACCAAAAGCGAAGGCAAGUGACUGGACCGCUCCUGACGCUGAAACACGAAAGCGUGGGUCGCGAAUGGGAUUAGAUACCCCAGUAGUC